rnacentral:rRNA from 1 species
AGUGAACGCUGGCGGCAGGCCUAACACAUGCAAGUCGAGCGGCCGUAGCAAUACGGCAGCGGCAGACGGGAGAGUAACACGUGGGAACGUACCCUUUGGUUCGGAACAACACAGGGAAACUUGUGCUAAUACCGGAUAAGUCCGUAAGGAGAAAGAUUUAUCGCCGAAGGAUCGGCCCGCGUCUGAUUAGCUUGUUGGUGAGGUAACGGCUCACCAAGGCGACGAUCAGUAGCUGGUCUGAGAGGAUGAUCAGCCUCACUGGGACUGAGACACGGCCCAGACUCCUACGGGAGGCAGCAGUGGGGAAUAUUGGACAAUGGGCGCAAGCCUGAUCCAGCCAUGCCGCGUGGAUGAUGAAGGCCCUAGGGUUGUAAAGUCCCUUCGGCGGGGAAGAUAAUGACGGUACCCGCAGAAGAAGCCCCGGCUAACUUCGUGCCAGCAGCCGCAGUAAGAC